UGGGGUAUCGCCAAGCGGUAAGGCACCGGGUUUCAUUCCUAGGUUCGAAUCCUAGUACCCCAGCCA
rnacentral:tRNA from 1 species